rnacentral:sRNA from 1 species
GCGGGCUGUGACGUCACGCCACGCGCCGGGGCCAGGAGGAAGCGGGCGCAGGAGGUGCGUGCUCAGUGUGCUGGGCACCAGGAGACUCCGGGACAGGGGGUCUUGGCCGUCGGCGUCAUGGUUUCGCGCGUGCAGCUCCCGCCUGAGAUCCAGCUGGCUCAGCGCCUGGCGGGGAAUGAGCAGGUGGUUUUACGCACGAUGAGCUGCUGAAGGUGUGGAAAGGACUGUUUUAUUGCAUGUGGAUGCAGGACAAGCCACUCCUCCAGGAAGAAUUAGGAAGGACCAUUUCCCAGCUCGUUCAUGCUUUUCAGAACAUGGAGGCCCAGCACCUGUUCCUUCAGGCCUUCUGGCAGACCAUGAAUCGCGAGUGGACGGGCAUUGACAGGCUGCGCCUGGAUAAAUUCUACAUGCUCAUGCGGAUGGUCCUGAACGAGUCCUUGAAGGUUCUGAAGAUGCAAGGCUGGGAAGAAAGACAGAUCGAGGAGCUGCUAGAGCUGCUGGUGACCGAGAUCCUGCACCCCAGCAGCCAGGCCCCCCACGGGGUGAAGAGCCACUUCAUCGAGAUCUUCCUGGAGGAGCUGACCAAAG